rnacentral:rRNA from 1 species
UACGGAGGUGGCAAGCGUUGCUCGGAAUCACUGGGCGUAAGGGCGCGUAGGCGGGGAGGUAAGUCGGGUGUGAAAUCCCCUCGGCCCAACCGAGGAACUGCGCCCGAGACUGCUUCUCUUGAGUCCCGGAGAGGAAGAUGGAAUUCCCGGUGUAGCGGUGAAAUGUGUAGAGAUCGGGAGGAACACCGGUGGCGAAGGCGGUCUUCUGGACGGUGACUGACGCUGAGGCGC